CUGACCGAGCAACGCCGCGUGAAUGACGAAGUACUUCGGUAUGUAAAGUUCUUUUAUCAAGGAAGAAAAGCAAAUGGCGAACCAUUUGUUUGCCGGUACUUGAUGAAUAAGCCCCGGCUAAUUAUGUGCCAGCAGCCGCGGUAAGACAUAAGGGGCAAGUGUUAUCCGGAAUUAUUGGGCGUAAAGGGUGCGUAGGCGGUCUAGUAAGUCAGUGGUGUAAUGGCAACGCUUAACGUUGUCCGGCUAUUGAAACUGCUAAACUUGAGUUAGAUAGAGGCGAGUGGAAUUCCAUGUGUAGCGGUAAAAUGCGUAAAUAUAUGGAGGAACACCAGAGGCGUAGGCGGCUCGCUGGGUCUUAACUGACGCUGAGGCACGAAAGCGUGGGGAGCAAACAGGAUUAGAUACCCUGGUAGUCCACGCCGUAAACGAUGAGUACUAAGUGUCGGGUUAAACCGGUACUGAAGUUAACACAUUAAGUACUCCGCCUGAGUAGUACGUACGCAAGUAUGAAACUUAAAGGAAUUGACGGGACUCCGCACAAGCGGUGGAUCAUGUUGUUUAAUUCGAAGAUACCCGAAAAACCUUACCAGGUCUUGACAUGUUUUUGCAAAAUGAUAGUAAUAUCGUGGAGGUUACCAGAAACACAGGUGGUGCAUGGUUGUCGUCAGCUCGUGUCGUGAGAUGUUAGGUUAAGUCCUAAAACGAGCGAAACCCUUAUCGUUAGUUGCCAGCACGUUAUGGUGGGGACUUUAACGAGACUGCCAAUGAUAAAUUGGAGGAAGGUGAGGAUCACGUCAAAUCAGCAUGCCCCUUAUGACCUGGGCUACAAACGUGAUACAAUGGCU
rnacentral:rRNA from 1 species